rnacentral:tRNA from 1 species
UAAGAUUUUAAGUUAAAUUAAACUAUUAACCUUCAAAGUUAAUUAUAUAUAAAUAUAUAGAUCUUA